GCGGCGCUAGCUCAGCUGGAUAGAGCGCCCUUCUCAAAAGGGGGAUAUCGUGGGUUCGAGUCCCACGCGCCCCU
rnacentral:tRNA from 1 species